rnacentral:rRNA from 1 species
UUGGAGGGCAAGUCUGGUGCCCGCAGCCGCGGUAAUUCCAGCUCCAAUAGCGUAUAUUAAAGUUGUUGCAGUUAAAAAGCUCGUAGUUGAAUUUCGGGGUUAGUAGGCUGGUCAUGCCACCGGUAUGUACUGGUCUUUCUGAUUCCUCCUUCCUGAUGAACUGUACUGCCAUUAAUUUGGUGUUGCAGGGAAUCUGGACUGUUACUUUGAAAAAAUUAGAGUGUUUAGAGCAGGCUAACGCUUGAAUACAUUAGCAUGGAAUAAUGAAAUAGGACGUUCGAUCCUAUUUUGUUGGUUUCUAGGAUUGACGUAAUGAUUAAUAGGGAUAGUUGGGGGCAUUAGUAUUCAAUUGCCAGAGGUGAAAUUCUUGGAUUUAUUGAAGACUAACUACUGCGAAAGCAUUUGCCAAGGAUGUUUUCAUUAAUCAAGAACGAAAGUUAGGGGAUCGAAGACGAUCAGAUACCGUCGUAGUCUUAACCAUAAACUAUGCCGACUAGGGAUCGGAUGAUGUUAAUUUUUUAAUGACUCAUUCGGCGCCUUACGGGAAAC